rnacentral:sRNA from 1 species
CAGGAUCAAACGGCCUAGGCUGCAGGUGGUCAAGAGGCUGAACUUCAGGUCGGAGGAGAUGGAGGAGCCGCCCCCUCCCGACUCCUCGCCGACGGACAUCACCCCGCCGCCGAGCCCUGAGGACCUCGCAGAGCUUUGGGGCCACGGAGUCUCAGACGCUGCUGCCGACGUGGGUCUCACACGGGCCUCACCAGCUGCCCGCAAUCCCGUCCUGAGGCGGCCCCCCAUCUUGGAGGACUAUGUCCACGUGACAUCCACGGAGGGCGUCCGGGCUUAUCUGGUGCUGCGUGCUGACCCCAUGGCCCCGGGGGUGCAGGGCUCUCUCCUCCAUGUCCCAUGGCGAGGCGGUGGCCAGCUGGACCUGCUGGGUGUGUCCUUUGCCUCCCUGAAGAAGCAGGUCGACGGCGAGGUAGGGGCUGCGGGUUUACUGGGGGCUGGUGGCGGGGCCGCCUGAGCCCUCCUGAUUCCAGCCUGUUUGCACAGCGGCGGGAGCGGCUGCUUCAGGAGGCCCAGAGGCUUUCAGACACCCUGCACAGUCUCAGGUCGGGGGAGGAGGAGGCAGCCCAGCCCUUGGGGGCCCCUGAGGAGGAGCUGACUGACGGCCAAGACGCCUCCAGUCAAUGCCUCUGGGUGGAUGAGUUUGCACCCCGCUACUACACGGAGCUGCUCAGUGAUGACGUGAGUUCACCAACCGCUGCCUGCUCAAGUGGCUGAAGUUGUGGGACCUGGUGGUGUUUGGCCACCAGAGGCCUGCCCGGAAGCCCAGGCCCAGUGUUGAGCCGGCCCGGGUCAGCAAGGAGGCCACAGCCCCAGGCAAGUGGAAGAGCCACGAACAGGUGCUGGAGGAGAUGCUGGAGGCUGGGCUGGACCCGAGCCAGCGACCGAGGCAGAAG